UGGUGGAGUGAUUUGUCUGGUUAAUUCCGAUAACGAACGAGACCUUAACCUGCUAAAUAGUUGUGAGGAAUACCUUCCUUAUAAACUUCUUAGAGGGACUUUGCAUGUCUAAUGCAAGGAGGUUUGAGGCAAUAACA
rnacentral:rRNA from 1 species